UGAGGAAUAUUGGUCAAUGGACGCAAGUCUGAACCAGCCAAGUAGCGUGCAGGAUGACGGCCCUAUGGGUUGUAAACUGCUUUUAUAUGGGGAUAAAGUGGGGAACGUGUUCCCUUUUGCAGGUACCAUAUGAAAAAGCCCCGGCUAACUACGUGCCAGCAGCCGCGGUAAUACGUAGGGGGCUAGCGUUGUCCGGAAUCACUGGGCGUAAAGGGUUCGCAGGCGGCAAUGCAAGUCAGAUGUAAAAGGCAAAGGCUCAACCUUUGUAAGCAUCUGAAACUGUAUAGCUUGAGAAGUGUAGAGGCAAGUGGAAUUUUUAGUGUAGCGGUGAAAUGCGUAGAUAUUAAAAAGAAUACCGGUGGCGAAGGCGACUUGCUGGGCACAAUCUGACGCUGAGGAACGAAAGCGUGGGGAGCAAACAGG
rnacentral:rRNA from 1 species